rnacentral:lncRNA from 1 species
UGGGCUGCAGAGGUAGGCGCCCCUCUGAAGGGAAAUCUUCUAGGUUCACGUCUUUCUUUACCACGCACUUCACUGCACGACUCUCCGGGCGUCAGUUUCUCUUUGAACGGGAGAGGAAAGUAUCGACCCACAGGGUCGCUGUCGAGAAAAUACUUUGAGAAAACCCCUUGGCACAGGGAGAAGCAAGGGACGCCAGAAAAACAACACAAAAAAAAAAAACACGGCAUUUACCAAGCCAUUAUAUCCUGCUUUUACUAGCUCCCAGCUGGAUGCAGCCACCCCUUGGGACAGCCCCAUUUCAAAGAUGAGCAGACGGAGACCGAGAACCUACGGGUGGAGGAAUGAGGAAUGAUUCAAGUCCCUUUCCACGAUGCUCAGAAGAUGUUUAUUCGCAUAGAUUUUUCUGGUUCUUGCUGGGAGUUCCUUGAAAGUAAAAUUGACAAUAACGGGAAAUUCCUGUGCAGAACGCCUCGCAAGAGGUUAAGCGGGAGGCGCGGGGCAUGCUGGCUGCUGUAGUCCGGAGGUCGCGGUGCCUGCUGGGAGUUGUAGUGCUCCCGGGGCUCACAGCCCGCGGGAGGCUCCGCCCCUUCCCGGCCGGCACAGCCAGUCCCUGGAGCUGGGUUCCUCCCGGCCCCCGGCGUGGUCCCGCCUCUGCCCGGAGCUGAUAACUCAGCUGCUGGCGAGGAGGGAAUCCUGCUUCAUCGGAUUGUUGAGGAUUAAAAUGGUUAGCAGAGCUAGAGGACUCAGAAGGCUUGACGUUAAGUGCUACUUAAGCAUUAGUUGCUAUUAUUGCCUAAUCCUCAGUGACCCUUGCAAAGGAGCCUUUGCCGUCUCGGUUUUGUUGGCCGAGGAACCCGAGGCUGGCGGAGUUGGGUGGCUUUCCCGGGGUCACACAGCGAGGACGGCGGAGAGUCAGUUUUGGAAUCUCCUCCUUUGCCCCCGGCAGCACCUGCUGGUCCCCUGUGGCGAGGGACGCGGGGUCUGAGGUUGCCAGCCACACGUGACGGACGUGCAGCCCGGCCGCUGAGUCAGCAGCAGGUCGGGGCGGGAGGUCCAGAAAAGGGGGGUGUUGGACACUGUCCGCGGCCCGCGGCCCCGGUGAGGCGUCCCUUUCCCGGGUUUUUUGUUCUCCACUCCCUUCUUUCCACCAUAGGAAGUGGCGAAGUGGCGCCAACGGUCAUGUGAAGCCACGAGGCCCAACCUGAGGCCCAAACCCUGACGCUCCAGACCAAGAUGACAACGCAGAGGUGGCGAGCCAGGUCCUGAGAGGGGGUGGAGCUGCCCAGGGAAAUCUGGGCCCCUGCUGCGGACUGAGGAAGGCCCGAGAAGGUCACUGUCCAUUGCUUAAGCUGCCUGAGGACAUUUUAUGUAUGAUGUUGUUGCUACAAUAUUCAGUCAAAAAGGGGGACGGGGAGGGGUGCCGGUCCGUCAAACAGUCCUCUGUUGGUGGACGUCUGGGUUGGUUCCUUUGGUCGGUGUCUCCCCGCUGCGCCCCCCCACCUUCUCUCUCCCCCUCUGGUGGAGGCUUGGACUCAGCGCCUUAAGCAUGAUAAGCCCAUGUUCUCCCACUCGAAGUCCCCAGCCUUUGGUUUCUUUCUAGACAAUUUGUUUCUACAACGCCCGAUUGUGUAUCAUACGUCACUUUCUGUAGCCAUGGAGAAAGGGAUGAAACUAGGGAGCUGGACGAGUUAAUUUAAAAAGGGCCCUUGAAAUCCGUUAAGCAAAGAGCUAGGGUAUAACUAGAUGGUAGAGCACUGCCCAACAUGCACAAGGCCCUGGGUUUCAACCCCAGCACCGCAAAAGAAAAGAGAAAGGCAAACAUUUACUGAGCAUUUACUGUGUUCCCAGAACAUAGUGUUUUUCAUAUAGUAAUUUCUUUAACCUUCAUAACUAGCCUAUGUGUAAGUGCCAUUAUUCUCCCCGUUUUACAGAUGAGACAACUGAGACACAGGAAGGUUAAGUGAUUUGCCCAUAGUCACAAGCUUGUCAGUGGCAGAGCUGGGAUCUGAACCCCAAACUCUUAACCACUACUACCCUGUCCUCCAGGAAAUUUGGGAAGGGACAUGAACAGAUGAGGAAUUGCAGUGCCUUUUAAACUCACAAUAAGAUAUUGUGUUUCAAAGAUUUUAAGAUACAGAUUUUUACAUUCAAACAUCUCUGAAACCAGGAUGCAUCUUAGGACGCAUGACAUCUUAGAUUCAAUAAAAUACAAUAAGAGAAAUGCAAAUUAAAACCACCUAUCAGGUUGGCAAAGAGCUCGACCUUUGAUAACACAGUGUUGGCAAGGAUGUGGGCCACAGGCUGCUCAGCAGCGGUGAGUGUGAAUGCACCAGCCUCUGGAACAGGGCUGGGUGUGAGCCAUCACGAUUUUUAAACACAAACACCCUUCGACCCUGCAAUUCAGUUCCUAGGAGCUGACCCUUCAGAUCCAGUGGCCCUAUGAGCAAAGAUCUGAGAUCUCUGUUGCAAGUAACAGCAGUUUGUAAAACUCAGGACUGAAAACAACCCAACAACCAUUGGAGGUGGAAUACUACACAGCUGUUAAAAGGAGUGAGUCAGGCUGGGUAUGGGGAUGCCCCAGUGAUUUGGGAAGCUGAAGAAGGAGUACAGCAAGUGCAGGCCAGCCUCAGCAACUUAGCAAGGCCCUAAGCAACUUAGUGAGACCCUGUCUCUAAAUAAACU